UAAGCAGCAUCGGGCUUGGUGACC
rnacentral:miRNA from 1 species